rnacentral:rRNA from 1 species
CCCUUAGGCGUCCUGGGCCGCACGCGCGCUACAAUGACUCAUGCAACAAGUUCUUCCAAACUCGAAAGAGGUCAGGAAAUCUUUAUAAUGUGAGUCGUACUAGUAGGGAUUGAUCUUUGCAAUUCUGGAUCAUGAACGAGGAAUUCCUAGUAAGCAUAAGUCAUCAACUUGUGCUGAUUACGUCCCUGCCCUUUGUACACACCGCCCGUCGCGCCUACCGAUUGAAUGGUCCGGUGAAGCCUCGGGAUUGUGGCCAGUUCACUUUAUUGGGAGUUGGCUGCGAGAACUUGUCUAAACCUUAUCAUUUAGAGGAAGGUGAAGUCGUAACA